CAUUUCCCGCCAAUCAGCCCACAUAGAUUCCCUCCUCGGACUUUUCUUCAGUGCCGAAGUAUCCUGUCUGUUCUUGUUGUUCCUGCUGCUCUCGUUCACUGUUUUUGUUCAUGUUUUAUUUCUUAUUAUUAUCGUGUCUUUUCUCUGCCUCCGUUCAGGUUCUCCGGUGUCUCUCAGUCAGCCUCUCUCUUGGUUCCCUGUUUGUUUAGUCUCGCCUUUUGUUAUCUCUCUCUCUUGUUACUUUGUUAGUUUUUCAGAAAGUCGAGCUCAGUCUGUGUUUCCUCUUUUUGUUGGACUUUUGUAUCCCUACCGGACUAUUUCUGUCGGACUCGGUUUUACCGGAUCUGUUUCUCCAUCUCCACCUCGCUGACUAACAGCAGCAGUACAACAACAAACCAAAAACAGGUUGGAGCGGUUUUAAUGUUUUAUACUUUGGACUCUGAAGUUAUGAGGGUGUAACUUUUCCUCAGCUCAAACAGACACCAGGACUGAUGAGGGAGAACAAGCAGCUUCUUCUCUUCACAUGAAGCUGGAAAGUGUCAGAAAGUCUCCCUGAAGUGAGUUCAGCAGAUCACUGACAGAUCAGACUGAUUUGUGUAUGAAGUUGUGGAGGCACAGUAUUUAAUUUGUCAAAGGAAACAAAUGUUUAAGAUGCAUCCUGAACAUCAGAUGAGAGAACCACAUCCUCUGGUCUGGGGUUUCCUGACAGGUGGAGGCUCAGCUAUGAAUCAGUGUGAGGACAGAGAGGAGGGAGCCCCUCCCUCUAAAACCACUCUGUGUGGGGAACAUGAGAGUCAGACCAAAGCUCAGAGGGAGCUCAACCAACAUUUGAAGAUAUUUAACCAGAAGUCAAGACCAGAUUCUCCUGAACUGAGCUAUGUGUCCAUGAAGAGGGAUUGGUCUAUGGGUCAUCCUACGAACUUUAAGGGAGGACAACAGUCUGCUGUAUCCAGAAGUGUGUCCAUGAAGAGUGAUCAGUCUAUGAUUCAACCUAUUGCAUUUAAGGGAGGACAACAGUCUGCUGUAUCCAGCUGUGUGUCCAUGAAGAGUGAUCAGUCUAUGAUUCAACCUAUUGCAUUUAAGGGAGGACAACAGUCUGCUGUAUCCAGAAGUGUGUCCAUGAAGAGUGAUCAGUCUAUGAUUCAACCUAUUGCAUUUAAGGGAGGACAACAGUCUGCUGUAUCCAGAAGUGUGUCCAUGAAGAGUGAUCAGUCUAUGAUUCAACCUAUUGCAUUUAAGGGAGGACAACAGUCUGCUGUAUCCAGAAGUGUGUCCAUGAAGAGUGAUCAGUCUAUGAUUCAACCUAUUGCAUUUAAGGGAGGACAACAGUCUGCUGUAUCCAGCUGUGUGUCCAUGAAGAGUGAUCAGUCUAUGAUUCAACCUAUUGCAUUUAAGGGAGGACAACAGUCUGCUGUAUCAAGCUGUGUGUCCAUGAAGAGUGAUCGGUCUAUGAUUCAACCUAUUGCAUUUAAGGGAGGACAACAGUCUGCUGUAUCCAGAAGUGUGUCCAUGAAGAGUGAUCGGUCUAUGACUCAACCUAUUGCAUUUAAGGGAGGACAACAGUCUGCUGUAUCAAGCUGUGUGUCCAUGAAGAGUGAUCAGUCUAUGAUUCAACCUAUUGCAUUUAAGGGAGGACAACAGUCUGCUGUAUCCAGAAGUGUGUCCAUGAAGAGUGAUCAGUCUAUGAUUCAACCUAUUGCAUUUAAGGGAAGACAACAGUCUGCUGUAUCCAGAAGUGUGUCCAUGAAGAGUGAUCAGUCUGUGGAUGACUUUAUCAAAGAAAAAAGGUAAAAGCUGAUCAUUUGUUGUUGUUUGACUCAUUAAAGGUAUCAAAGCUUGUCUAUCAGUUUCUCUGGUGUUCAUAGAAAACUCCUGGAACAA
rnacentral:lncRNA from 1 species